CUGUCGCGAGCUCCAGGCGUUCAGUUCCCCACCUGCCGUGGAUCGUGGAGGUUCCGAGCGCACAGAGCUGCUGCUCCUCCCUCAUACAGCAGGAGGACCUCCAGAGCACCCGGAGGAAACCCACGCAGACAUGAAGAGAAUGUGCAAACUCCACACUGACAGUCGCUUGAGGUUUGAAUGGAACCUGAGUCCCUGACACUUUGAGACAGCAAUGCUAACCACUAACCCACUGUGCUGCCCUUGACAGACCUUGAAAUCCAACCCCAUACAGGUUAAUCGCUCCCCUAAGCUAAGGUGUCUGAUAGCCACGUUUGAAAUGUGCCUUGUUAGUCAAGACAAAGAGUUUAAGUGCUGAGCAGUCUGAAGAAGCAUCAAUAGCUGGAAUCAUUAACUACAUUUUCACGUCGCAGAUGCUGCCAGACCUGAGAAAAGAAGUCCAGCCUAUACAGUGCUUUUUUUAAAAUUCUGUUUUACAGAUGCAGAAGUCAGUGUCAUUAAAAAAAGACAGCCCAGCUACUGUGAAA